CCAAAAAAAAAAUUCUUGUCUGACUAUACACAAUUUUUUCUACUUAACCAUAAAUUUUCCCAAGAAAAUACAAAAUACUAAAAUAAAAAAUCUAAUCAAUAAAUUAUCAACAUUAAAUAAAUUAUCAAUAUUUUUACUAUAUAUAUAUAUUAGUUAUAUCCUCAAGAUAAGCGUAUUGUUUUCGAUUGUAGAGAUGACAAACACAUAAUGCUGGUUCUAUACAUACAUUUACGGGAGAUUACAAUAGAGGGUCAUCCCACAAUAAUUCAACGAAGAAACAUAAACACUACCAACUGGCGCUUAUUCUAGAUAGAUUAAAUUUUCAAAUGGUAGACAGAUUCUCUGACGUGUGUCAUUUCUACGUAUUAUAUUUUAUUCUACAAAAUAUCGUUAUUUAUUUUUAGAAAAAAAAAUCGAUGAGCUUUCCAAGCUGUAAUAUACAUAAGAAAGGAAUUACUGCGCUCUUCUUAUCUAUAUACUUCUGCUGAAGUGAGCUGAAUCAGCGUUCAUCUCUCGUGCAAGCAAGAGUUAUAAAUCUAAUCGAUUUUCACAAGAGACUCCUCUAACCGCGUAGUUAUUCUUACUCAUAUAGAAGAAUAAGAAGAAGAAAUAAUACCUCAGCUAUCACCAUUCGAUAAAGAAAAAAAAAAUUAUACCACCCAUUAAAUGUGAGAAUCAUUCAUUCAACUGUAUACCAUAUAGCUCAUUUGAAAACAUAAAAAUCGUAAAAAUCGUAAAAAUCAUAAAAGGCAUAAAAAGCAUAAAAAUCAUAAAACAUAAAACUCAUUUAAAUAGAACUAAAUCCAUUAUGCUGACAAAUAUAAAAAUUUUCAUUGUAGUAAAAUUCACAUUUGGAAAAAUUUAAAGUUUUUUAUCUAUUACAUGCAAAAAAAUCUUUAUUUAGAACAGUGAUGUUUCACUAAAACAGCGAA